rnacentral:rRNA from 1 species
UACAGAGGGGGCAAGCGUUAUUCGGAAUUAUUGGGCGUAAAGGGCGCGUAGGCGGCCAUUCAAGUGACGGGUGAAAGCCCUCGGCUUAACCGAGGAACUGCGUUUGAAACUGGGAGACUUGAGUGUGGCAGAGGGGGGUGGAAUUCCACGUGUAGCAGUGAAAUGCGUAGAUAUGUGGAGGAACACCAAUGGCGAAGGCAGCCCCCUGGGUCAACACUGACGCUCAUGCACGAAAGCGUGGGGAGCAAACAGG